UGUCACCAGAGCUGCUCUCACGCUCCUCUGCCAGUCACUAUUGCAAUAUCCUGCCUCUAUACAACGCUGCACUUCAAGAGCUUUGGGUUUCACCAGGUCCAGUGAUCUGACUGUUCCAAGGCAGUCUGGGAGGUACGUUCACUGCUGAGCUGAUGAACCAAACUGUUUGGCCAACCUUGCUUCAAGAACCUGUUUGUGACAUUUAAGUGGACAUGGUGUAGAAGAAAGCUGUAGAACUAGAGCUCCGUGGGGUGUACUGGAUUGCUCCUUUCCCCUUACAUCCAAUUCUCUCUCCUUUUGUGGUUUCCAGGACGUCUGGCAGCACAGCCUGUGUUAGUUUAAUCAGGUGAGGAUGGCUAACAGGUCUCCUCUCACCUACCCCUACUCACUGUGUAAGAGCACCACGAGCAAGCCAAGCUGCAGUGUGCUGCCAGCUCUUUCCAAAUCAGAGAACUGAUACCCACAUUUUCAA